rnacentral:lncRNA from 1 species
GCCCCCACUACUCCCUUACCUUUUCUCCAUCUUAAUUUAUCUCUCUCUCCCUCGUCUUACCUUCUCCCUCUCCACUCAUUCUUCCUUCCUCUCCCUUACCUCCUUUUAAUGUGGCCUCUUUCCUCCGUUGCAUUUUCUACCUCGUCAUUUAUUUCUCUCCCAUAAUAGUGAGCCCCCCAGUUCAACUUCUCCCAUAACUCCACGCACUCUCUCUCCCUCUCACUUAUUCUCUCUCUCUGGCCUUCACACAAGACAUGCCUUCUCUCCUAUUCAUACAACAAACACAUUCUCCCUCUCACUUACGCACUCCUCUCUCAAGCUUUCACUUCUCAUCUCUCACCUUGAACUGGAGAGGGAGAGAACACAAGCUUAUACAAACUCGUUCUCUUCUAGCUAGAGGGGGAGAACGGAAUUUUUGAGAAUCAUAUGAAGUCUCGCCGGAUUAAGCUCGGAUCUCUGCCAUCUUUUAAAGCUUGGCAAGGCUCAAUCCAUGAAUACCCAAUCGAAGGUCCCUAGGCCCUUCUACAAUCCCGAUCAAUUUCUACAAAAGUACAAAUUGAGCACCUUUGGCUCACGACUUGAUAGACAACGGGAAUAGUCCUAUCGCACCAACAUCUCUGAUCUAGGCCGCCAACUCCAGGUGACGGGCCUGUGGACCUGCUUCACUCCAAGCAAGCUUAAUCUAUUCUCUCAGUCAUGUAACUUGUUUUAUUAGUUUAUCUAAUUAAUAUUGUUGCUCUACUUGUAAGAUGUUGUCCAAAGUUUCCCUAUUUUCCCUUAGGAUUCAAAAUUUUCUUUUUUUAUUUUUGGUUUUAAGGUGAACUUUAGCUGACACGGCCAGCGGAUCACCAAAGAGGGGGACCAAAGGAUCUUUUUCUUUUGUGGUCCAUAAUUUAACAGAACCUCCUAAUCUACCAUUGGUUGAUGGUUUACACGAGAAAUUAGGUGGGUACUAUUUUCUCUAACAAUUUCGCAUAUAAACACUUACCUCCCUUAACGUCCACUUUUUCCCUAGCCAUGGUAAGGACAGGCUGGUGUGGAUUCCAGCGACCUCGGCUACACCAAAAUGCUUCCCCGCAAGGCCUGGAUCUUCCCCCCACCCUAACACCAAUAGAAAGGUUGAAGUCUUCACCUGGCUGGUAAUAAACAAAAGUACUCCCAUAGUGGAGCAGCUCCAAAGGAGAGCUCUAUAGAUCAGUGUAGGUAAAAUCAGGCGGUUCAAAUUCUAACCGCCCAAUUAGACCCAGUUAGAUUCGAACCGGCCACUAGCCGGUUCCGGUUUCAGCAAGUUUUAGGGAACCGUCAGGUAUUUGAAAAAAAUUCAAAACAAAAUUAUAUAAAAUCCUAAAAAGUAAGGGAUUUUUUUUGUUUGUAAUGCAUUUUUAAUGUUUUCCAUCAUUUUGGCAAAGAUCAGAAAUUAUUUUGGCCAUUAAUACUUAUUUUUAUAUUUUCCCAUCUUUUUUAGAAAAUUUCAAAAAUAUCCUUGAGCAAAAAUCGAUUCUUUAAAAACCAAUAUUUCAUUAAUUUUCAACUUCAUUUGGAUGUACUUUGUUUAAUUAUACUUUAAAUAUACUUUUCAUAUUUUAUUUUUUUGUAUGUUUUUAUUUUUUAACUACUAUUUUGUACCACCCGGGACUUGCCAGGUUAGGCCGGUUGAGCCAGCCAGUUUACCAGUUAGACCGGUUAAACCGCUCCCGGUCCCAUGUCAGGCUAACCAUUCCAGUUCGAUUUUUUCUACACUGCUACAAAAGCCUAGCCGUUAAAUUAUGUGCAAGGCUAGUGAGGUAUAUGUUGACCAUCUCUUCCUGCACUGUCCACUGGCUGGGAAGUUUUGGUCCUUCCUAUUAAAUCUUUUUGGUGGACAGUGGGAUGUAACAGGAUCUACCCUCAAGUUUGCUUCUUUGGUGGACCCCAGUCCUGGUCCUUCUGUGGGCCAUUUGGCGGAAGCAUAACGGACAAAUUUCCAUAGGCAGGGAAGUGCAGCCCGGGGCUAUCAAGGACAACAUCAAGGCCACCAUUAUAGAGUGGGCUAGAUAGUGAAAGGAAUACAAGAGCAACACUGCCACAGACUUCCUACUAGACUGGGGAGCCAAUAAGAGGUCUGUAGAAAGGUCUAUAACUAGAUCUGCCCAUUGCUUUGAUCUGGAUCCAGACACUAUCAAACUGAAUUUUAAUGGGUGCUCUCUUGGUAAUCCGGAGAUUGUGGGCAUUGGAGGUAUUAUUAGAGAAAUUUCGGAAUCGGAUUUCAUGCUACCAUCGUAAUCAGGACCGAUAAGCUUUGUCAACCUCAGCCAAGGCUCACACACUCCUUGAAGGCCUCAAAUUGUCUGAUCAAAGGGGACUACACUGGCCCAAAAGGUUAUCCAAUUGUUUCUGGUGACCAAAGCAAGUAUAUUGACCAGAUAUUUGGGCUGAUUAGCUCCCUGUGACAUACUUGGUGCAAGGCCAAGCAUAUCGCAGAUUCCCACUCAAACCAAACUUUGCAAUUAACCACCCUCUUCAGAAGGCCGGUCCUGUUGUCUCUCUUGUGCAAAACAAACUAUAAGUUUUGUUAAUGAGUCCCUGGUUUUUCUUUCUUUUUGUAUAGACCAGUGACUUGGUAAUUAUUUUACUUAUAACAUCUAUGUAUAAUCUGUAUAUCCUCAUAAAUUAAUACAAUAGAGUGAAUUUCAUAAAAAAAAACAGUGCAACACAAUAACACAAUGAGCUUUUUUCCCGAUCCUUAAAUGCUUUGCUAAUUGCUAAACAUUCUUAAUUAAGCCCCUUAACAUGCAAAAAGAACUAAACACGUUGUGAAAGCCCGUGUAAGCUCAAAUUAGCAAGAAA